UACGUAGGGAGCAAGCGUUGUCCGGAAUCAUUGGGCGUAAAGCGCGCGUAGGUGGCUUCGUAAGUCCGCUGUGAAAGUCAAAGGCUCAACCUUUGAAAGCCGGUGGACACUGUGGAGCUAGAGUCCGGAAGAGGCGAGUGGAAUUCCUGGUGUAGCGGUGGAAUGCGCAGAUAUCAGGAGGAACACCAAUAGCGAAGGCAGCUCGCUGGGACGGUACUGACACUGAGGCGCGAAAGCGUGGGGAGCGAACAGG
rnacentral:rRNA from 1 species